rnacentral:ncRNA from 1 species
AGUUAGAGGCUGCAGCUUAUAAAAGUAAAACGGACGAGAUUCUGGAAAAUUAAAGACUCCGUUUGAAAGGAUAAGUUGCCGAAGUUAGGGUAUAUUCCAUGUAUAUUCUUGCUGGCGGUGUUACCGAACAGGAACACCACUGUCACGUUUUUUCAAAAAGCGUGGGGAGCUAUCU